GUGUGACCAUGAACAGCUAAUUUAUUCACACGACAAUUGCCUUCACAGAAAAUAUGAGAACUUACCACUUGAAGUUCUAAAUAAAGACAAUUAUGCCAUGGUUCCUCAAACGGAUGAGAAUAAUAUCUAGGUUCUUAAAAUCUUGAACAACGCUAGUAGAAUCACUCUUUAGCAAAAGCAUACGCCAAAUUAUUCCUAGCUUCAAAAUUUAAGAUUAAAAUAAGAUUGGAUUUACAAAUAUAAAUAUCAAAAAGAGGUAUUUUUUUAAGAGGAACAAAAAUAGGUAAUUAUCUUAUCUCUACGAAGUGGUGAGAUUUUAAAUAAGUAAACUUACAUAAAAUUUGCUUAUGAGUUUGAGUUUAAAUUUGAACAACUGUAGAGAAUAAUUUGAUAUGAAAUACUAUUUGAUAUAUAAGAUACAAGCAAUAAAUCCCUAAAUUAUAGAGAGAGAGAAAAAAAGGUAAAGAAAAAGGGGUAUGUAGAACAUUAGUAAUUU
rnacentral:lncRNA from 1 species